GUGAACGCUGGCGGUAGGCCUAACACAUGCCAGUUGAACGGCAGCACAGUAAGAGCUUGCUCUUACGGGUGGCGAGUGGCGGACGGGUGAGGAAUACAUCGGAAUCUACUUUUUCGUGGGGGAUAACGUAGGGAAACUUACGCUAAUACCGCAUACGACCUACGGGUGAAAGCAGGGGAUCUUCGGACCUUGCGCGAUUGAAUGAGCCGAUGUCGGAUUAGCUAGUUGGCGGGGUAAAGGCCCACCAAGGCGACGAUCCGUAGCUGGUCUGAGAGGAUGAUCAGCCACACUGGAACUGAGACACGGUCCAGACUCCUACGGGAGGCAGCAGUGGGGAAUAUUGGACAAUGGGCGCAAGCCUGAUCCAGCCAUACCGCGUGGGUGAAGAAGGCCUUCGGGUUGUAAAGCCCUUUUGUUGGGAAAGAAAAGCAGCAGGUUAAUACCCCGCUGUUCUGACGGUACCCAAAGAAUAAGCACCGGCUAACUUCGUG
rnacentral:rRNA from 1 species